GAUGAACGCUGGCGGCGUGCCUAAUACAUGCAAGUCGAGCGAACGGACGAGAAGCUUGCUUUUCUGAUGUUAGCGGCGGACGGGUGAGUAACACGUGGAUAACCUACCUAUAAGACUGGGAUAACUUCGGGAAACCGGAGCUAAUACCGGAUAAUAUUUUGAACCGCAUGGUUCAAAAGUGAAAGACGGUCUUGCUGUCACUUAUAGAUGGAUCCGCGCUGCAUUAGCUAGUUGGUAAGGUAACGGCUUACCAAGGCAACGAUGCAUAGCCGACCUGAGAGGGUGAUCGGCCACACUGGAACUGAGACACGGUCCAGACUCCUACGGGAGGCAGCAGUAGGGAAUAUUGCACAAUGGGCGAAAGCCUGACCGAGCAAUACCGCGUGAGUGAUGAAGGUCUUCGGAUCGUAAAACUCUGUUAUUAGGAAAGAAAAGAUGUGUAAGUAAAUGUGGACGUCUUGACGGUACCUAAUCAAAAAGCAACGGCUAACUUCGUG
rnacentral:rRNA from 1 species